rnacentral:rRNA from 1 species
UUUCUCUUGAUCUCAUCUAAUCUUGGAGACGAGUCAGAGUUAAGCCUGGUUAGUACUUGAAUGGGAGAACAUCUGGGAAUUUCAGGU